GACGAACGCUGGCGGCGUGCUUAACACAUGCAAGUCGAACGGUGACGCUGGAGCUUGCUCCAGCUGAUCAGUGGCGAACGGGGGAGUAACACGUGAGCAACCUGCCCUUGACUCUGGGAUAACCCCGGGAAACCGGAGCUAAUACCGGAUACGAACCGCACAGGCAUCUGCGUGGUUGGAAAGAUUUAUCGGGCAAGGAUGGGCGCGCGGCUUAUGAGGUUGUUGGUGGGGUAACGGCCCACCAAGGCGACGAAGGGUAGCCGGCCUGAGAGGGGGACCGGCAGCACGGGGACUGAGACACGGACCAGGCUCCUACGGGAGGCAGCAGUGGGGAAUAUUGCGCAAGGGGAGAACGUCUGAUGCAGCGACGCCGCGUGAGGGACGAAGGCCUUCGGGUUGUAAACCUCUUUCAGCAGGGAAGAAGCGAAAGUGACGGUACCUGCAGAAGAAGCACCGGCUAACUACGUGCCAGCAGCCGCGGUAACAC
rnacentral:rRNA from 1 species